rnacentral:rRNA from 1 species
GUACACGCUGUGACUAGCAUAUCAAUAAGCGGAGGAAAAGAAACUAACAAGGAUUCCCCUAGUAACGGGGAGUGAAGCGGGAAGAGCUCAAAUUUGAAAUCUUAAAGGGUUUCCCUUUACGAAUUGUAGUUUAAAGGAAGUGUUUUCUGUUGAGGUUUUGGUAAAAGUUCUUUGGAAUAGGACAUCAUAGAGGGUGAGAAUCCCGUAUUUGACCUUUACUUUCAACUUUGUGAUACACUUUCGAAGAGUCGGAUUGUUUGGGAAUGCAGUCCAAAAUGGGUGGUAAAUUUCAUCUAAAGCUAAAUAUUGGCGAGAGACCGAUAGCGAACAAGUACCGUGAGGGAAAGAUGAAAAGAACUUUGAAAAGAGAGUUAAACAGUACGUGAAAUUGUCAAAAGGGAAGCGUUUGACACCAGUGUUGUUUUUCUGAAAAUCAAUUAAAGAACUGUUUAUGCUAAGUUGUUUAGACUUUAUCAGCUAACUGUUUAGUUUUGAGCUUUUCUUUAAUGCACUUUUCAGUUAACAAGUCAACAUCAAUUUCUUUUGCUGUAAAAAAGCUUGAGGAAGGUGGCUUGAGAUUCGUCUUAAGUGUUUAUAGCCUCUUGCCUAUGCAGUCGGAGAGAUUGAGGUCUGCAGCGUAGAUCCUUCGGGGCUAAAUGCAUUUGUGCUAAGUUAUAGCAUUUUAUAGACAACUUGUUGACUAUGAUUUGUCUUGUAGCUUACUCGCUUAUGUUAUUUUACCUACGCUUAGGAUGUUGACGCGCGUGUGUGCGUG